GACGAACGCUGGCGGCGUGCUUAACACAUGCAAGUCGAACGGUGAAGCGCCUUCCUUUUUGGUGGGUGUGGAUGAGUGGCGAACGGGUGAGUAACACGUGAGUAACCUGCCCCCUUCUUCUGGAUAACCGCAUGAAAGUGUGGCUAAUACGGGAUAUUCUGGGUCUGUCGCAUGAUGGGUCUGGGAAAGAUAUUGUUUCGGUGGGGGAUGGGCUCGCGGCCUAUCAGCUUGUUGGUGGGGUGAUGGCCUACCAAGGCGGUGACGGGUAGCCGGCCUGAGAGGGUGGACGGUCACACUGGGACUGAGACACGGCCCAGACUCCUACGGGAGGCAGCAGUGGGGAAUAUUGCACAAUGGGCGCAAGCCUGAUGCAGCGACGCCGCGUGAGGGAUGGAGGCCUUCGGGUUGUGAACCUCUUUCGCCAGAGAAGCAGGCCUGCCUCGUUUGUGGGUGGGUUGACGGUAGCUGGAUAAGAAGCGCCGGCUAACUACGUG
rnacentral:rRNA from 1 species